rnacentral:rRNA from 1 species
UACGUAGGGGGCUAGCGUUGUCCGGAUUUAUUGGGCGUAAAGAGCGUGUAGGCGGCCAGGUAGGUCUGCUGUGAAAACUCGAGGCUUAACCUCGAGAUGUCGGCGGAAACCAUCUGGCUAGAGUCCGGAAGAGGAGAGUGGAAUUCCUGGUGUAGCGGUGAAAUGCGCAGAUAUCAGGAAGAACACCCGUGGCGAAAGCGGCUCACUGGACCAUAACUGACGCUGAUGCACGAAAGCUAGGGGAGCAAACAGG